AGGCGACGACGGGUAGCCGGCCUGAGAGGGCGACCGGCCACACUGGGACUGAGACACGGCCCAGACUCCUACGGGAGGCAGCAGUGGGGAAUAUUGGGCAAUGGGCGAAAGCCUGACCCAGCGACGCCGCGUGCGGGAUGAAGGCCUUCGGGUUGUAAACCGCUUUCAGCAGGGAAGAAGCGAAAGUGACGGUACCUGAAGAAGAAGCACCGGCUAACUAUGUGCCAGCAGCCGCGGUAAUACAUAGGGUGCAAGCGUUGUCCGGAAUUAUUGGGCGUAAAGAGCUCGUAGGUGGUUCGUUACGUCGGAUGUGAAAACCUGAGGCUCAACCUCAGGCCUGCAUUCGAUACGGGCGAACUUGAGUGUGGUAGGGGA
rnacentral:rRNA from 1 species